rnacentral:rRNA from 1 species
CCUACGGGAGGCAGCAGUGGGGAAUUUUGGACAAUGGGCGCAAGCCUGAUCCAGCUAUUCCGCGUGUGGGAUGACGGCCUUCGUGUUGUAAACCACUUUUGUAGAGGACGAAAAGUCUGUUGAUAAUACCGAUAGAUGAUGACGGUACUCUACGAAUAAGCACCGGCUAACUACGUGCCAGCAGCCGCGGUAAUACGUAGGGUGCGAGCGUUAAUCGGAAUUACUGGGCGUAAAGGGUGUGCAGGCGGUUUUGCAAGAUGGAUGUGAAAGCCCGGGGCUUAACCUGUGAAAGCCAUACAUGACUGUACGACUAGAGUGCGUCAGAGGGGGGUGGAAUUCCAAGUGUAGCAGUGAAAUGCGUAGAUAUUUGGAAGAACACCGAUGGCGAAGGCAGCUCACUGGGACGCAACUGACGCUCAUACACGAAAGCGUGGGGAGCAAACAGGAUUAGAUACCCGGGUAGUC